AACAAACAAGAGUUCAAAUCAAAAUCCAUCAAGAAUUUGCUGGCUAUAUCUUCAAGAUUCCGAUAUGUGGGGUCCUUUUGUGAGGUAAGUUGGAUUAGCUUGAAGCCAUGAGUUUCUAUUCCAAAAUGAUGAUUGUACCCAACUCCAUCGAUUCUAUACAUCGAUCUAUCCCCAAUCUAGUCCAAAUUAUAAUGUUUUAGAUCAGAUAAUACACCACAAAAAUCAGCUUUGAUCAAUUUGAUGUAAGUGCGGGGCAUUAUUCCUCGAUGAGGAGCUGAACGUUACUCAUCUUUAUGUACUGUUUAACCUGAACAGAAGCCCAUUGCACAGUAUGGCAUUCUCUUCUUCUCUCACCAUAUAUAUUAUAUACGAGUAAAGUAAAGAAAAGAAAAGAAAAGAAGAUAACAGUGCCAAAAAUUCAUUCACGUUUAGGUAUGUGGUCCAUCCAUCCACAAUGGAGGAGAAGCCAGAAUUAAAAGAAAAAAAAGGUCCCACUCAAUGGUACCUAUCAUGGACGUCAAAAUUUUCAAACGAAAAUGAAACCUUAGGUGACUCUUCUUCCAUCAAAGGAUGUAUUGGUUCACAAGAUACGUACCCAACUUUCCUUGUCUUGAGCAAGACCACGACUGAGAAUUUGGACAGAGCCAUCAGCCAUGGCUAGAUAUAUAUGGUUGCAUGGUCCAACCUCCAAGACUGGUCCAGUGGUUGUGCCUCAUGUAGAUGUGAAGAAAAAGCAAUGGCAGCAGAAACUUCCUGAUCUGCACGUACAACCGGCGGCACCCGGAGCCGGAGGUACCUCCCGUUGCUGAGGUUAAAACUAGGAGAGGUUCUCAGAGUGAGAUGGUAAACUUCAGUGGAGAUGCUAUUACCCAUGCAGGACUACUCUGCAAAGGAUCAUAUCAAGCAUGCCCACCCAUCUAUAUUCUCCCAAACUUUCCAAGCGCUAGUGGUAUCUGUGCUUUUUGUUGAAAGCCGGGAAAGACGUCAGGGACCAUUUCGAAAAAUCGUCACCAUGGCUCCUCCCAACUACAUGAUACAUCGACUAGUGGUGAUGGGUCCCCUCAACCUCCUUUUGUCCAAAUAAGGCUACUGAAUUACCCCUAAAAAGUACACAGCAAUAAUCCCAUGCCAUGAUCUUCUCUUCCACUAAACUCAACAUGGCUCCUCCCAACUCUAAAAGACUAGUGUUUUUGCCCAUAGACUUGACAAAUAAGCCAUAGGAGCAAAACUUUCCUGUCCAAAACCAUUGGCAUUCUCAUACCCCAAGUUUCAGAGGUAAAAGCUGGGGACCGGAGGUGUCAUUAAAGAUGAUGAUUCUGCACUUGAUUUGAAAUUCAUAGACCUCUCAGCAGUAACUGUAAGGAUGAGCUUUAACCUAUAUACUUGAGAAAAAGGAACCCUAGAGGGGGUAUGUUGCCAUCGACCCCAUAAGAAGAAACUACUAAUUGAGAUUAUCUUAUAUCCUACGAGCAAGAUAAUUUUGAGUAGGGCAAUGAUCACUGGUCAGGAAAGUGGUCCAGGUCCAUUACCUCAGCGGACCGAUCGGAGUUGUGGAUGAGGAUGGGUUACCGGCCAAGCCAGGCAAUCUUCUGGUAGUCAAAAUAUAGAUCUUGGGUCUUCUACCUGGAGAUAAAUGGGGUUAAUAUAGCAGCAUUUUGACACACAAAAUGGAGGUCGUUUCCUGACUUGACCAUUUUCCCUGCGCAACCAGAGCUAUUUGGUAUUUCAAUCGAAUAUAUAUGCCUGCUCACGUCACAUACCAGAUUUAAGAAGGCAUUCCAGAAUGGGAAAAGAUUGUUGGGGAGGCUGCAGAACAAUUCCAGGAAGAGAGAAUGGUGGAAUUGUGACAUCAAAGGGGUUCAAGAUAUACCUCCCAGCAUUUGUAGACAGCAAAUCUCAGUACUGAUGACAGAGAAAUGUGACGUUGAACUCUCAUUCUGUGGACUCAAGCACAUUUUUUAUCUCUCAAAUUGAUAAUAUUGACAAAAAAAGUAGACUUCUUGUGAUACCGAGGAUAGUUUCAUGAGUUCGAAGAUAUUCUAAUUGAGUGUAUUAUUAGAAAAACUAAUUUAUGAUUCUUAAACAUCUUAAGAGCUGAACUAUCUAAACGUCCUAAAAAAUGCCACUUUAAACCAAAAUAAUAUCACUUUUGAUGUCAUCCACGAUGUUUGCCUAUCUUGCUAACCUAUAAAAUCAUCAACUACGUACCAUGCACAGAACAUAAAUCUCACAACAUUUGUUUACACUUGCAUGCUUUCACCUAUUAUAAACAACCCUCAUUCUCCGUUUAUUUAAAUAUGCAACAUGUUGAAUAAAAGAAUGAAACAACUAUUUCCAUCACUCAAUGUAUUGAUUACAGCUUAUUGCCUAACCAGGGCAUGAUGCUUGUUAUCUUGUUAUUUCAGGUGUGAACUAAUCAGAGGUGGAAUGAAAGAGUGCCUUAUGCCAAUGGGUCUCACUCCUCUCCAUGUGAACCUAUCAAGGUAGUGGGGGGCAACACUACCUUGAUGCAAGUGUUGCUUACCAGUGAGUAGUAUUCGAUGCAGUUGACCACCCCUCCAAAUUUGGGCACUCCAAAGAACAGAUAUGAUAGUGACUAUCAGGUUCAUGAUGCCCAUGCGGAGAAAAAUUUCUGGAAUAGUUGAUUACUUGAUUCUCCUAAUGCUUGCGCUUAUCCCGACAGCUAUCUGACCAGGUAGCCCUUUCAAUAGACUAAAAGGGAUUACCUAUUUUGAACAAAAUAUUCAGCUUCAUCAAAAUUACAUGCCAUGGCACUCUUGAAGACUACCAGAUUUGUCUUUUAUAUAACAGCUGCCACAGUUCCAGGGACAUUAAUUUUGUAAAUUAGUCAAAUAAAAUAGGAUCCAAAGGAAAAACAGCAUCAAGUAUAUCAUUUGAAAGCUAAUCACGUUUCAUAAGAUCCACUGGUUCAUUCAUAGCAAAUGAAAAGUAAAUUAGUUAUAAAAGCAUCCUCCAUAAGAUGUGACUAUCUAAAAGGAGUUUUAAAAGGCUGAUAUGAAUCCGUUACCUCGUUACCUACAACGUCAAUUCAUAAUUUUAACUAAAUACUUAAGAGGAACACUACCAUAGUGUAAGAUGCACUUAAUAAUAUAUUGAAAGCGUUCGAUGGUGUUGCAAUGAUGAACAUUGAAUUCCAGAAGCCCAAAGCCAAAGGUCUAACUCCACGCUCAACACCUGUAGACAAAAGAGUCCUACAGUUAGGAUAUGAUGAAAGCAGAUAACCAAUGACGUACUGAAAGAGAAUAAUAAUGUGUCAUUUUCAGUCACAAUUCCAAGGAAAAAAGAAUGUGUCACCGUCAACUGUAGGCCAUCAUAUAUUACAAACAUGUAUACCUUGCUGUGUAAAUAAAUCAAAUUGUCCGAAAGCAUAGCAGUUAGUAUAUGGAAAUAUAAGAAAAUAAAAUGGAAUUUUCCAAGGAAAAAAGAAUGCGUCGCCAUCACACUGUAGGCCAUCAUAAAUCACAAACAUGUAUACUUUGCUCUGUGUAAAUAAAUCAAAUUGUCUGCAAGCAUAGCAGUUAAUAUAUGGAAAUAAAAGAACAUAAAAUGGAAAUGAACUGUAGUUAAUAUAUGUCUCAAACUUUGGAAAACAAAAGGAAGAAAACCCCAUGUGCUUGCAACUGAACUGAAAAUAGAAAUGGCACCAAACAAAAAAGAUUAACCAUACCGGCUUUCCUAAUUUUGAACUGAUUAAUUCCCUCAUUUUCUCCACAGCAUGUACAGAGCAAGCUCGCAGUUCAACUUCCUCCUCACUACCUGGACCUAUUUCACUAUUGGCUUCAAUCAUGCUGGCAAGGGUUGAACUAUAUUUUAGGGCACCAAGCUGUCGAAGCACAGCUGGAACAAUAUAGUCCGCCAUUAUGGUGAUGGAACCAAUGUCAUCAAAUUCUCCAUAUGAUUGGCCUUUAAAGGCACCCCAUAAAUCUGCUACAAAUAUCUGAGCUCUUUUAUACAAGAA